rnacentral:misc_RNA from 1 species
GUGAGCAGUGGGGUACCUGAAUGAGCUAGAAGCAGAUUGAGUUUAAUUGAGCUAAAAAGUUAAUUAGUUAGUCUUCACUCUCAAAAACCCAUUAGAAUUCCUUUCUCUUAGAUGUGGGACUCUUAACACAAGAGUAGGUGCGAGAAACAGGAAAGAAAUGAAAAAUAGAGGGAAGAACGGGACCAUCCAGGACAUCUUUGUCGACAUUGUAACAGGCUGCGAUUUUUUCCAAGCUUCGCAUUCAUUUGAGGUGGAUAAGCAGGGAUAACUAUUGGCAUUGUAGGGGCCAGUUCCCAGUAUAUUUUAGCCUGGAGAAUCUACAACAGGCAAAUCCUAAACUGGUUGCUUUGCUAAUCUCUCAGCCACAAGUCAUCUUUCU